AUUGAACGCUGGCGGCAUGCCUUACACAUGCAAGUCGAACGGCAGCACGGGAGCAAUCCUGGUGGCGAGUGGCGAACGGGUGAGUAAUGUAUCGGAACGUGCCCAGUCGUGGGGGAUAACGUAGCGAAAGCUACGCUAAUACCGCAUACGAUCUGUGGAUGAAAGCGGGGGACCGUAAGGCCUCGCGCGAUUGGGGCGGCCGAUGUCAGAUUAGGUAGUUGGUGGGGUAAAGGCUCACCAAGCCGACGAUCUGUAGCUGGUCUGAGAGGACGACCAGACACACUGGGACUGAGACACGGCCCAGACGCCUACGGGAGGCAGCAGUGGGGAAUUUUGGACGAUGGGCGCAAGCCUGAUCCAGCAAUGCCGCGUGCAGGAAGAAGGCCUUCGGGUUGUAAACUGCUUUUGUACGGAACGAAACGGCUCUGGUUAAUACCUGGGGCUAAUGACGGUACCGUAAGAAUAAGCACCGGCUAACUACGUGCCAGCCGCCGCGGUAACAC
rnacentral:rRNA from 1 species